UGAGGUUUGUGACAUGACAAGUGGGGCCAGAAAGUAAAUCUGUUGUUUUGCAGGAUUCAGCUUUUUAAUUAUCUCGCGGGGAAUCGGCUUAGUCGAAAAAAGUUCUAGGUAGAAUAAUGAUUAUGACAAUUUUCUAUCUAAAUGUCUUGACCAAGUCUCGUGCCAGCAGUCGCGGUAAUACGUGGAAGACUAGUGUUAUUCAUCUUUAAUAGGUUUAAAGCGUACCUAGACGGUAUUUCUAGCCCCCAAGGGUACGGAUUUACUAGAGUUUUAUGUGAGAGGCAAAUAUUAGUACUCUUGGUGUAGAGAUGAAAUUCUUUGAUACUAUUAGGACUGGUGGCGGCGAAAGCAACCCUCUAUGUAUAAACUGACGUUGAGGGACGAAGGCUUGGGUAGCGAACAGGAUUAGAUACCCUAGUAGUCCAGGCAGAAAAUUAUGAGUGCCAUAGAUUAGAUUAGAUUAAUGUUUCAGAAGAAGAAAAAGAAACAUAAAAGAAAGAAAAAGAGCAAAAGCAAAAAUAAAAGUAAAGAAAGAAACAGAUAAAAGUAUAAGCUUUUGCAAGCAAACGCGCUAAAAAUCGCCAAAUCUGGUCUAUAAAUGAAAGUGUAAGCAUUCCACCUCAAGAGUAAUGUGGCAACGCAGGAACUGAAAUCAUUAGACCGUUUCUGAAACCAGUAGUGAAGUAUGUUAUUUAAUUCGAUAACCCUCGAAAAACCUUACCACAAUUUGAAUGUAAUAUAUGUAGUAGUUUAAUGAUUGGCUAGAUAACAACUACAUGUAUUAACACAAGCGUUGCACGGCUGUCUUCAGUUAAUGUCGUGAGAACUUGGUUAGAUCCAUUAAAUUAACGUAAUCCCUUUCAUUAGUUCUCUGCACUAAUGAA
rnacentral:rRNA from 1 species